rnacentral:rRNA from 1 species
GACGAACGCUGGCGGCGUGCUUAACACAUGCAAGUCGAACGGUAAGGCCCCUUCGGGGGUACACGAGUGGCGAACGGGUGAGUAACACGUGGGUGAUCUGCCCUGCACUUCGGGAUAAGCCUGGGAAACUGGGUCUAAUACCGGAUAGGGCCCCUGCCUGCAUGGGCGGGGGUGGAAAGCUUUUGCGGUGUGGGAUGGGCCCGCGGCCUAUCAGCUUGUUGGGGGGGUGAUGGCCUACCAAGGCGACGACGGGUAGCCGGCCUGAGAGGGUGUCCGGCCACACUGGGACUGAGAUACGGCCCAGACUCCUACGGGAGGCAGCAGUGGGGAAUAUUGCACAAUGGGCGCAAGCCUGAUGCAGCGACGCCGCGUGAGGGAUGACGGCCUUCGGGUUGUAAACCUCUUUCACCAGGGACGAAGCGCAAGUGACGGUACCUGGAGAAGAAGCACCGGCCAACUACGUGCCAGCCGCCGCGGUAA